GGGGAUUUAGCUCAGUGGUAGAGCGCGUGCCUAGCAAGCGCAAGGCCCUGGGUUCGAUCCCCAGCUCCG
rnacentral:tRNA from 1 species